rnacentral:rRNA from 1 species
GAUGAACGCUGGCGGCGUGCCUAAUACAUGCAAGUCGAGCGAACGGACGAGAAGCUUGCUUCUCUGAUGUUAGCGGCGGACGGGUGAGUAACACGUGGAUAACCUACCUAUAAGACUGGGAUAACUUCGGGAAACCGGAGCUAAUACCGGAUAAUAUUUUGAACCGCAUGGUUCAAAAGUGAAAGACGGUCUUGCUGUCACUUAUAGAUGGAUCCGCGCUGCAUUAGCUAGUUGGUAAGGUAACGGCUUACCAAGGCAACGAUGCAUAGCCGACCUGAGAGGGUGAUCGGCCACACUGGAACUGAGACACGGUCCAGACUCCUACGGGAGGCAGCAGUAGGGAAUCUUCCGCAAUGGGCGAAAGCCUGACGGAGCAACGCCGCGUGAGUGAUGAAGGUCUUCGGAUCGUAAAACUCUGUUAUUAGGGAAGAACAUAUGUGUAAGUAACUGUGCACAUCUUGACGGUACCUAAUCAGAAAGCCACGGCUAACUACGUGCCAGCAGCCGCGGUAAUACGUAGGUGGCAAGCGUUAUCCGGAAUUAUUGGGCGUAAAGCGCGCGUAGGCGGUUUUUUAGUCUGAUGUGAAAGCCCACGGCUCAACCGUGGAGGGUCAUUGGAAACUGGAAAACUUGAGUGCAGAAGAGGAAAGUGGAAUUCCAUGUGUAGCGGUGAAAUGCGCAGAGAUAUGGAGGAACACCAGUGGCGAAGGCGACUUUCUGGUCUGUAACUGACGCUGAUGUGCGAAAGCGUGGGGAUCAAACAGGAUUAGAUACCCUGGUAGUCCACGCCGUAAACGAUGAGUGCUAAGUGUUAGGGGGUUUCCGCCCCUUAGUGCUGCAGCUAACGCAUUAAGCACUCCGCCUGGGGAGUACGACCGCAAGGUUGAAACUCAAAGGAAUUGACGGGGACCCGCACAAGCGGUGGAGCAUGUGGUUUAAUUCGAAGCAACGCGAAGAACCUUACCAAAUCUUGACAUCCUUUGACAACUCUAGAGAUAGAGCUUUCCCCUUCGGGGGACAAAGUGACAGGUGGUGCAUAGUUGUCGUCAGCUCGUGUCGUGAGAUGUUGGGUUAAGUCCCGCAACGAGCGCAACCCUUAAGCUUAGUUGCCAUCAUUAAGUUGGGCACUCUAAGUUGACUGCCGGUGACAAACCGGAGGAAGGUGGGGAUGACGUCAAAUCAUCAUGCCCCUUAUGAUUUGGGCUACACACGUGCUACAAUGGACAAUACAAAGGGCAGCGAAACCGCGAGGUCAAGCAAAUCCCAUAAAGUUGUUCUCAGUUCGGAUUGUAGUCUGCAACUCGACUACAUGAAGCUGGAAUCGCUAGUAAUCGUAGAUCAGCAUGCUACGGUGAAUACGUUCCCGGGUCU